CCCCCCCUCAGGUCGCACCUGGAGAGUUUCCAGUCCUCUACCAGUCUCAGCUAUGGGAGGCAGAGGCAAGCAGAGGCAGAACCAUUCCAUUCCUAGCUUGGGCAGUGGCUAGCGAGUGGAAGGCAAUCUGCUUCAAAU